AAUAUAAGACUCUGCUCUGAGACUUUAUUUCGCAACACGUUCAUUGCAAUAUUUUACAAUCUUCCGAAAUGUUCUAAACUUCGACAAUUAAUAUUAUAAUAAACGAGGCCAAAUGGCGCAAAAGCUUCGAGGUUUAUGAUAUUUGUCACUUAUAGAAUAAACAUCUAAAUUGCCAUGCAAAUCCACGACUCCAUACAACUUCAUAGAUACAACGUCCCUAUAUCAGCUGAAAAAUGGCGGCGACCAAUCGGAAUCGGGCAACGUUAUUUCCCGACUCUGAUUAGAUGAUUCCUUUCCAAUAUUCGUUAUACAUUUUCGUAUUUUUAUAUACAUAAAAUACUGAAUUUCAAUUAAAACUACAAUUCGAGUGAACAGAGUCACGUACACCUACGCACGCUGCAUUUGGUACAAGGACGUAUUGGAAAGAGGUAACAGAAAAAACAGAAGAAUUCGCUGAAAAGGGUUUCGAUUGGUGGGAUGCAGCGUUAUCAGCAUCGAUGAACCAAUUGCAAACCUCGCGCCAUACGUCAUCAGAAACAAGACUUUGUCGCUAUCUCAUCUGUCACAUCGUAUUUAUUACCUGGACACAUACGUAGCAAAUCUACUUCUGUGGUACCGGUGAAGCUAGCGUACGCUUCCUACGAAUCGAUGAAGGGAACAAAAAAUUCAUCCAAACAUCCUAUCAUUCUAAUGCACGGCUUGUUCGGUUCGAAAAACAAUUGGAACUCUUUAUCAAAAGCGAUACACCAGCAAACAGAUCGUAAGGUGAUAACUAUAGAUGCAAGGAACCACGGUGAUUCUCCACAUUCUACAGAAAUGUCGUACGAACAUAUGGCAAAGGACGUAGUUCAACUUAUGAACGACUUGGAAUUUGAAAAAUCUAUAUUAGUAGGACACAGCAUGGGAGGCUCUACGAUGAUGUACGUGGCUUUGUAUUAUCCAGAACUAGUAGAAAAAUUAGUAGUGGUAGAUAUGUCUCCUGUGAGGACUAGUCCUAAACUUAUGGAGAUCAAAAAAGUAUUUCGUGCUAUGCAAACUGUACAACUAAAUAAUAUACCAACUUUAACGAAAGCACGUAAAGUGGCAGAGGAACAACUCGCGAAUCACGAUGUCAAACCUUUGGCUAUACGUCAGUUUUUAACGAUGAAUUUAGUGGAAGCCAAUAACGGAAAAUAUAAAUGGCGGGUUAAUUUACCUGUACUCGAACAGAAUUUUGAUUCAAAUAUAGCUAAAUUUCCACGUUCGGAAACAAAAGUUUAUGAAGGACCAACGUUAUUUAUAGGUGGUGCUAAUAGUGAUUAUAUACAAGUAGAAGAUCACAAUGAAAUUAAGAAAUAUUUUCCCUCUAGUCAAUUUGUGUACAUAAGUGAUGCAGAUCAUUGGGUUCACGCGGAUAAGCCAACCGAAUUCCUGAAGAUUGCAGUCAAUUUCAUUAAUCAACCAUAACUGUAAUUAUGGUACCAAUGAUAAAAGAAGUGGAGAAUAGCAAAUUAAAAUAUAAUUGUACAUUGUGAAUAAAUUGUGAAUUCUGCAUCAGCUAGGAAAACAUUUUAUCAAAAUUGGAAAAUAGUUCCACGUAAGGCCAUGCUUUAAUAUAGAACGACUAUUUAGAAACAAAAAUUUGAAUAAGAUUUUUAAAUUAUCGAAAUAUGUAAUAUGCUCGAUGAACGAUAAUUUCAACGCAAAAUGUGUUCGUUAAAAUAUGUAAGUUCGAUCGAAAGAAUUUAAAGAACUACAUUUUAUGUAAAUUUUGUAUUUAUGUAAAAAUUUGAGUUGCAAUUUUGUGCAAGAGAUAAAUAAAAUUAUAAUUUAAAAUUA